GCCACAAUAGCUCAGUUGGUAGAGCAACUGAUUUGUAAUCAGUAGGUCGGGGGUUCGAGUCCCUCUUGUGGCACCA
rnacentral:tRNA from 1 species